rnacentral:rRNA from 1 species
GGUUAAGCGACUAAGCGUACACGGUGGAUGCCCUGGCAGUCAGAGGCGAUGAAGGACGUGCUAAUCUGCGAAAAGCGUCGGUAAGGUGAUAUGAACCGUUAUAACCGGCGAUGUCCGAAUGGGGAAACCCAGUGCAAUUCGUUGCACUAUCGUUAACUGAAUACAUAGGUUAACGAGGCGAACCGGGGGAACUGAAACAUCUAAGUACCCCGAGGAAAAGAAAUCAACCGAGAUUCCCCCAGUAGCGGCGAGCGAACGGGGAGCAGCCCAGAGUCUGAAUCAGCUUGUGUGUUAGUGGAACGGUCUGGAAAGUCCGACGGUACAGGGUGAUAGUCCCGUACACCAAAAUGCACAGGUUGUGAACUCGAAGAGUAGGGCGGGACACGUGGUAUCCUGUCUGAAUAUGGGGGGACCAUCCUCCAAGGCUAAAUACUCCUGACUGACCGAUAGUGAACCAGUACCGUGAGGGAAAGGCGAAAAGAACCCCGGCGAGGGGAGUGAAAAAGAACCUGAAACCGUGUACGUACAAGCAGUGGGAGCACCUUCGGGUGUGACUGCGUACCUUUUGUAUAAUGGGUCAGCGACUUAUAUUCUGUAGCAAGGUUAACCGUAUAGGGGAGCCGCAGGGAAACCGAGUCUUAACUGGGCGUUAAGUUGCAGGGUAUAGACC